UGUCAUAAACGGCUCCUGGGGUCUGAAAAAACGACAGCAGGAUUCAGCGUUCCUCUGACAACCACUCAGAAAAUAGAAUGUGAAGAAGAAGGAGGAAGGGAAGAUGCGGGGCCAGCCAUCAGAAUGUUCCCUGUGGCUCCAUGGAUGCCUAGAAAUGCUAGUCACUUCAAGGGCACAGAGAAAGGGACUAGAAAAUCCUCUGGAUGGGCCUUCAAAGGUCACUGAGCAGGACUCCCAAAGGCCACCACUGCUGUCCAGCACCCCUCUCAAUGCAGCUACUCCCAGCGGGUUGUGGAACCACUCUCUCCUGUGUCUUCAAGUAUAGAGGUGGAAACAGCUGUCUGCUGUUGCUUGCACCAAGGCUUAAAAGCAUGACUGGGAGGCCUCAGGAAACUCACAAUCAUGGUGGAAGGUGAAAGGAAAGAAAGCACCUCUUACCAUGGCAGAACAGCAGAGAGAGAAAGCGAAGGGAUGAAGAAAUGAAGACAUGGAAAAGUUAUGUAACUUGUGGAAAAUCAUACGGAUUGAAAUGACCAAACUGGGAUUUGAAUGGAAGUUGGUUCUAAGCCCAUGACCUCGAAAAGGGAGGGCUUUUUCUAAUGCUGCCACAUCCUAGCUGCGUUGUCUUCACCAAGAUGGAGAACUGAAAAGGCAUCAGGGGAUAGAAGAAAUGAAAUUGGAUGUUUCCUCGGAGUUAAGUUGAGUCCAAAGCUCAUACCUCUUGCCACAUGACGACAAGUGGAGCGACAAAGUAUAAGGCCAAGGAAGGUGACUUUAUUGCAGAGAAACAGCACAACCACACCAUUCUCAACAUGUUAUUCACUGAUUUUAAAAAAUUAUAGCCAACGUAGUAGGUGUGAAGUUUUAUCUCGUUGUAGUUUUGAUUUGUGUUUCUCUAAUGACUAAUGAUA